rnacentral:misc_RNA from 1 species
UCCUGGUUAACCCAGGCAGUCUCAUUAGAGUUCCCACCUUCACGUGUUGGCAACUAAUGAUAAGGGUUGCGCUCGUUGCGGGACUUAACCCAACACCUCACGGCACGAGCUGACGACAGCCAUGCAGCACCUGUACAGCAGCCCCGAAGGGAAGCUCCAUCUCUGGAGCGAUCUCCUGUAUGUCAAGUCUGGGUAAGGUUCUUCGCGUUGCAUCGAAUUAAACCACAUGCUCCACUGCUUGUGCGGGUCCCCGUCAAUUCUUUUGAGUUUCAGCCUUGCGGCUGUACUCCCCAGGCGGUAUACUUAACGCGUUAGCUUCGGCACAACUAGGGUUGAGUCCAGUUACACCAAGUAUACAUCGUUUACGGCAAGGACUAC